rnacentral:lncRNA from 1 species
AUGGCCCGGAGCCUGACUGUGGACAGGACAGAGACGUUCGUCCCCACGAGGCGGUAUUUCAGGCUCACGAGCUUGGCUAUGUGGCAGACGCCGAGCCACGGGUGCUGGUUCCACAGUGACCUGCGGCUGGUGGCAGUUCCGCCCUCCCUGGGAGUGUUUCGGGACAGACCCACGGGGACACCGCACAGACCGGCACCUUGCUCGUGCACAGGGCGGACUCCAGGCGCAUUCACGGAGGGCUCACUCCCGCCCUGCAGAGCCGCAGGCAGAGGCCGGGCUCGGCACACGAGGUGGGGUGAAGGCCACAGCUGCACAGACCCAAGGGAAGGACAUGACAGAUGGGGGCUCUGUCACGCCCCCACGCCCCUGUGCACUGCAGGACGGGCUGUCCACGCCCCUGUGCACUGCAGGACGGGCUGUCCACGCCCCCACGCCCCUGUGCACUGCAGGACGGGCUGUCCACGCCCCUGUGCACUGCAGGACGGGGCUGUCCACGCCCAUGUGCACUGCAGGACGGGCUGUCCGUGCCCCUGUGCACUGCAGGACGGGCUGUCCGUGCCCCUGUGCACUGCAGGACGGGGCUGUCCGUGCCCCUGUGCACUGCAGGACGGGGCUGUCCGUGCCCCUGUGCACUGCAGGACGGGGCUGUCCGUGCCCCUGUGCACUGCAGGACGGGGCUGUCCACGCCCCUGUGCACUGCAGGACGGGGCUGUCCGUGCCCCUGUGCACUGCAGGACGGGGCUGUCCGUGCCCCUGUGCACUGCAGGACGGG